ACCCGGCCCUCUGGGAGUUGAGCGAGAGCAGAGAAAAGUUGAAAAGACCGACAAAGACUGUGGGAAGUUGGCUUUUAUCCACACUAGGGACGGUCCCAGGAACGAGGAACUAGUUUGUGAAUGGCUCAAAGAAAAGCAAACGGAUGUCCAGGGGUCUUGUGCAGGACCUGAAAGUAUUUUCUUCCAUUUGUGUGUGAUGAUUGUUCAGGAAUAUUUUGGUGACUGUAAUCAAUGAGAGACUGAAGACAGAUCAACAUACAUCUUACCCAUGCUCUUUCAAAGACUGUGCUGAGAGAGAACUUGUGGCAGUUAUAUGUCCUUAUUGUGAGAAGAAUUUUUGCCUGAGACACCGUCAUCAGUCAGAUCAUGAGUGUGAAAAACUGGAGAUCCCAAAGCCUCACAUGGCUGCCACUCAGAAACUUGUUAAAGGCAUUGUUGGUAAGUAUCUAGAAAGCGUGUUUUGUUGCUUUCCUAGUUCCAAAGCUCCUGCUUCUUAUGUCUACUUUCCAGUUAUGGGAGGCAUCAUUAAUAACCCCAGUGGUAUUCGUAUUAACUUGUAUUUUGAUGA
rnacentral:sRNA from 1 species